rnacentral:lncRNA from 1 species
UAUCAUUAAACUCAAUACUAAUACGUAUUUACCAUUUAACUCAACGUUUAUCGAUUAUGAUCGAACAUGUGACCGAUUUAUACACAAUUCAUUCAUAUAUUUUUAGAAUUUUAUUUUAUUUCAUUCCAUUCCAUUCCAUUCCAUAGAAUUUCAUUUCAUCAAGCAUUCAUGUUUAUAACUAAUCAAAAAUCAAAACAUAAAUGAGCUAACGUUGGCCAAUUUAACUUAUACAUGUCAUUAUAAUCAGAAUCAAAUCAUCCAAAUAACACUCACUUUAAUUAAAAUUAUACAGAAUAUAGUUCAUACGAACUUACCAGGCUAAAUUGCAGAAAUACCAAAAUUUAGGAACAUUUUAGAAAUUUU